GAUGAACGCUGGCGGCGUGCCUAAUACAUGCAAGUCGAGCGAACAGACGAGGAGCUUGCUCCUCUGACGUUAGCGGCGGACGGGUGUGUAACACGUGGAUAACCUACCUAUAAGACUGGGAUAACUUCGGGAAACCGGAGCUAAUACCGGAUAAUUUAUUGAACCGCAUGGUUCAAUAGUGAAAGACGGCUUUGCUGUCACUUAUAGAUGGAUCUGCGCCGCAUUAGCUAGUUGGUAAGGUAACGGCUUACCAAGGCAACGAUGCGUAGCCGACCUGAGGGGGUGAUCGGCCGCACUGGAACUGGAACGCGGUCCAGACUCCUACGGGAGGCAGCAGUAGGGAAUCGUCCGCAAUGGGCGAAAGCCUGACGGAGCAACGCGGCGUGAGUGAUGAAGGUCUUCGGAUCGUGAAGCUCUGUUAUGAGGGAAGAACAGAUGUGGAAGUAACUAUGCACGUCGUGACGGUAACGAGUCAGAAAGCCACGGCUAACUACGUG
rnacentral:rRNA from 1 species